ensembl:lncRNA
UAAUUCUAGAAGGUGGACUUUUUACAGACUGUCACCUCCUACUGCUUUGGCAACAUGAAUAAAUGAGGACCAAGAGACAAGAUUCUCUUCUUUGAGCUCCCUGAAAAUAUGACCUCUAGUAAUUUUACUGAUGUACUGCCCAUUCCCUCAGGCAGCGAACUUGACUGGUUAAAUGCAUUGUGUGUGAUGAUCCCUGUGCUCCUGGUGUGCGUUAACUUCAAAAUAAUUAGAAGUUGCUUUAUUUAUCUGUACCAAUCCAUAUUACUACAGCACAUCUAUAGUAAUUCACACUUUGUCAGAAAUCUGUUCUCAACUUCUUUAACUUUGUCCCAGUGCAAUAGGCCAUAAAAACCUUUUUCUCCUUGCCUUGGGACUCUUUAAAUAAAAACAAACACAUACAGAAUGUUAUCUGCAAUCCAGUAAACCCAGCCAGGUUGAUUUAACUUGAUGAUGUCCCACCCAUGUUUUUGAGGGGUCAUGCCAGUUCAGAAACACCUUUGUCAAAUCCUUUCUAUGGCAGCAUAUAAUAACUUACAGUAGUGAAUGAAUCACGUGCUUGGGGAAACAUAAAGCUUCAGUGCAUAUGAGAUCCCAAGGAAAGACUACAACAGGUGAUUUGAGCACUAACAAAGCUGAAUUAACUGACCUGUUACCAUCAGAUAUUACUGGAUAUCUGAAAAGGUAAAAAUGUUCAGUUCUUCUAACUACAUCGUACAGAUACAGUCAAAACUGAUUAUUUUUCUGACCAAAGAUAAGCCACUUGCACAUCUCCUUCAAUGUUUUUUUUUUUUUUUCCACAACAUGUAUCUGAAGUAUCUCAGGUUAGUUCUACAUGAUGCAGGAAAAUAUCACAGUAUACCUGAUGCUGCUGCGUAGUGACAGCUGGUUGAUAAGUAUGUGAUUAUUAAGUUAUUUUUUAUGAAGUUCACUGUUUAACAACUGAUCAGCCAUAACGUAUUUAUUAUGGCAUGUAAGUCUAUAAAGUAUCAAUAAUGUAGAGUGAUUUAUUAUAGAGUAAUACUGAAGCAGCCUGUGGUAGUGUAGGUAGUGCCUCUGAAGCACAUGGUUUAUCAUGUCCUUACAACAACCUCACCCCUGCUCAUAUUUUCAAAAGAAGGAUGAAGUAUUAUAAUAGUUUAUUGUUUCAUUUUAUUUAAAAAUAGGACUUCUGCUUUCCCAAGGCUGUCAGGUGUAACUUAUUUCUCAAGGCAACGACAGUUACUGUUUGCAGCUGAUACCCAGUCACUCCAUUAGACAGCAAAAGCCCUGCAGCAAGCGUUCUGUUUUGUGGUAAGCUCAUGAUACAGUCACAGUAAGGAGAUACCUCAGGGGUGCUUUGAAGACGUUGCAGGUGCGAUUCUUCGCUAAACAACAGAUACAGCGUGGCAAGUGUUGAUAGAUAUUAACAUCAGUGCAGGUGUAGAACUUACACCAUAUGCAGAACCAGCACUUUCUUGCAGUCCCUGGGCUGAUGGGGAAACCCCUCUGUCUCAAAGCAAGCCACAUGUGAGGGUUUUGAACCAGCAUGCUCAAUAGAGACCUGUGAUAUCCACAUCUAAAUCUGCUCUGGUUACGCUCAGUACUCAAUUAGCAUGCUUCCACUUGGGUGUUUAUGAUUUUUGGUGCAUCGGUUGUUCCUUCUAUACUGCUGAAUCAGUAAGGCUGCCUGGCUGUUGCCACAGUGGAAGGUGUAUUUAAUUCAGUGACUGUGCUGUGACAUACAAAGAGGUGUUGUUUCUGAGAGCUCUUCUAGUCAUGGAUUCUGAAGAACUACAACCAGAAAGCUGUUAGUUUCAAACGCUUUGCAUAUCCCUAGCUUGCUCUUACAGAUUUCCGUAACCACCAGGAAUGCUGGAUGCCAGGGAGGAUGCAGAACCCAAGGAAAUCAAAAGGAGCCAUGAGUGUACUCUACAGGGCAAUGGCAGUAUUUGCCAGCUAUGGCUGCAAUACGUAUACACGGAAAGGAGAAAGUACAUGAAGUUCUACUUAAGGUUUUCCUAUGAGCUUCUACGGUUUUCUCUGGGAGCAUCACGAAGAGUUAGGCAACUCCAGAUUGAAAGACCCUGGCCUCAAGGGCUGAAGAAUAGAGCUACAUUGUAACAUCCUGAUACUUGCUGACAAUUUUCUCCCUUAAUAAAACGUUGCCGCUGUCCUCUCCAUUUAUAGCAUCAAAGAGAACCCUUCUAACCUCCUAAAUCCUGUUUUAGUGUCGUAGGCUACAGAUUAUUAGCCAAAGCACAACUGCAUUUGAUGUAGUUAUAUCAGGAAGAAACAUAAGUAACAUUUAUAAUGCAGAAAUACUUAAAAAAAUUUAUUAAAAUUUAUUAAAAUAUGUUUAAAAUUAAAAUUUAAAGCAUUUAAACUUCUGUGUGAGCUCCGAGGCAGCUCUGUCUUUGUGUAUUACUGAAUACGAAAUGCUGAGAGGAAUUGAUGUGGCGGUCUCCUUUUUCUCUAGUUACCCUCCUGCAGCACAGCGCAGCCCGCUGCCCCUACAGGACAGCCUGCUUCAUGACGUUGUCCCUCAAGAUCUCAUUCCACUGUUAAUUUUUUUGUUGUUGUUGUUAGAAUAAAACACCUUGAAGUCCUGCUCUGA